AGUGAACGCUGGCAGCAGGCCUAACACAUGCAAGUCGAGCGGCAGCGCGUCCGACCACCCUCGGGUGGUCGGAUGGCGGCGAGCGGCGGACGGGUGAGGAAUGCAUCGGAAUCUGCCUCGUUGUGGGGGAUAACGUAGGGAAACUUACGCUAAUACCGCAUACGACCUACGGGUGAAAGUGGGGGACCUUCGGGCCUCACGCGAUGAGAUGAGCCGAUGCCGGAUUAGCUAGUUGGCGGGGUAAAGGCCCACCAAGGCGACGAUCCGUAGCUGGUCUGAGAGGAUGAUCAGCCACACUGGAACUGAGACACGGCCCAGACUCCUACGGGAGGCAGCAGUGGGGAAUUUUGGACAAUGGGCGCAAGCCUGAUCCAGCCAUGCCGCGUG
rnacentral:rRNA from 1 species